rnacentral:lncRNA from 1 species
GUCCGUUGCGUGUUCGGUGUCCAUUGCUCUGUCCGGUUUUCUCCGCGAGGCUCCAAGUGACUCCGCCAUUGCCUCCAUGGCCCUGGGACCUGCAGGUACUGGAAGGUCCAUUGGGAAGAUGUCGGGACACCACAGAAGACAAGAACCGAUUCUGUUAGCCUAUCGAAAAUGCAAGAUGCAGUUCUUUCAUGGGAACACUUAUUAGAACUUAAGAAUAAUCAUUGUGAACAACUUACAGUAAAUAUUAAACAAAUGGAAAAUGUGGUUGGUGUACUACAAAAGGAGCUAUGUGAAGCAAAAGAAACACAAUUACAGUUAGAGCAUGAAAAAGGUCAAUGGGAACAAGAACGCUACAGUUUGAGAAUGACCUUAAAAGAAGAAGAAAAGGGAAGAAAUGCUGAUAUAUUGCCUAAAAAAGACAGUGAACAGUUAAAAAGAAAAGAAAAGGAAUGUGGGAAAGAAGUUGAAACAGCAACUCAAACAGACUCUGAAAUCACUGGUCACAGAAUUGAGGACAUUAGGAAAGAAUUUGGAUCAGGUUGUGCAGAAGCGAAGCGAUACCCACAAGCAACUUUCUGAAGAGCAGAAUGCCAGAAUAUUACAAGAUGAGAUUCUGACCAGUAAGCAAAAGGAGGUCGAAGGGGCUCAAAAGAAAAUGAAUUCUGAGAAGUAACUGCAAUUUGAUGGAGGAGGACUAGAAGUAGAAUCAGAA